UGGCUCAGUUGGUAGAGCAUGGUGUUUGCAACGCCAGGGUAGUGGGUUCGAUUCCCAC
rfam:Salmo salar isolate Sally breed double haploid chromosome ssa02, whole genome shotgun sequence.